rnacentral:rRNA from 1 species
GACGAACGCUGGCGGCGUGCCUAAUACAUGCCAGUUGAGCGAUGAAGCUUGGUGCUUGCACCAAUUUGAAGAGCAGCGAACGGGUGAGUAACGCGUGGGGAAUCUGCCUUUGAGCGGGGGACAACAUUUGGAAACGAAUGCUAAUACCGCAUAACAACUUUAAACAUAAGUUUUAAGUUUGAAAGAUGCAAUUGCAUCACUCAAAGAUGAUCCCGCGUUGUAUUAGCUAGUUGGUGAGGUAAAGGCUCACCAAGGCGAUGAUACAUAGCCGACCCGAGAGGGUGAUCGGCCACAUUGGGACUGAGACACGGCCCAAACUCCUACGGGAGGCAGCAGUAGGGAAUCUUCGGCAAUGGACGAAAGUCUGACCGAGCAACGCCGCGUGAGUGAAGAAGGUUUUCGGAUCGUAAAACUCUGUUGGUAGAGAAGAACGUUGGUGAGAGUGGAAAGCUCAUCAAGUGACGGUAACUACCCAGAAAGGGACGGCUAACUACGUG